rnacentral:rRNA from 1 species
UACGUAGGGGGCAAGCGUUGUCCGGAAUCAUUGGGCGUAAAGCGCGUGUAGGCGGCUCGGUAAGUCCGCUCUGAAAGUCCAGGGCUCAACCCUGGGAUGCGGGUGGAUACUGCCGGGCUCGAGUCCGGAAGAGGCGAGUGGAAUUCCUGGUGUAGCGGUGAAAUGCGCAGAUAUCAGGAAGAACACCCGUGGCGAAAGCGGCUCUCUGGAACGGUACUGACGCUGAGACGCGAAAGCGUGGGGAGCGAACGGG